rnacentral:sRNA from 1 species
CCAAUAGCGUAUAUUAAAGUUGUUGCAGUUAAAAAGCUCGUAGUUGAAUUUCGGGGUCAAUAAGUUGGUCGUGCCAAUGGUAUGCACUGGCUUUAUUGAUUCCUACCUCUUGACGAACUGUGAUGCCAUUAAUUUGGUGUCGCAAGGAAUCAGGACUGUUACCUUGAAAAAAUUAGAGUGUUUAAAGCAGGCUUACGCUUGAAUACAUUAGCAUGGAAUAAUGAAAUAGGACGUUUGAACCUAUUUUGUUGGUUUCUAGGAUCGACGUAAUGAUUAAUAGGGAUAGUUGGGGGCAUUAGUAUUCAAUUGUCAGAGGUGAAAUUCUUGGAUUUAUUGAAGACUAACUACUGCGAAAGCAUUUGCCAAGGAUGUUUUCAUUAAUCAAGAACGAAAGUUAGGGGAUCGAAGACGAUCAGAUACCGUCGUAGUCUUAACCAUAAACUAUGCCGACUAGGGAUCGGAUGAUGUUAAUUUUUUAAUGACUCAUUCGGCGCCUUACG